UUAUGGUUUCUGUUGUGGAUUGCCAUGUCUUCUACCUUUGUAGGUAUUUCUGCUUGGAUUCUAAAGCAUCUGUAUGGAUAAUUGUCUGGACAGGAGAAAUGCUCUUCUCUUGCAGUUAUACUGCUUUGUGAAGGCUAAAAGUAUAUUUAGUGAAUUCUUGAGUAUGCUUAGUAAGCUUGUGUAUGCUGUCUGGCCACUGCUCCAGUGGUGUCAAGCAUUUUAUGGCAUCUAUUGUACAAUUGCUUGGCUUUUGCAAUGUUUGAUGUUCCAGAGAACAUAACUUUUCUAACUUAAAUGUACCACAUGUGGCUUUGAUUAUUUCGGGGGAUCAUGUAUACAAUUGCUCACCAUUUCGUUCUUAUUUCUUGCUGUUUCAAAUGGCUGGUGCAUAGAGGCUUUUCUUUCUGUUUUUCCUUAUCUAUCUAUGCUAACUGAAAUUACUGGAGAUACAAACGGGUUAGCUGGCAAGCAUGAACUGUACAUCUUCCCCGACCUUCAGUUUUGAUUGUUUACUGCUCUUGAAGUUUCCCUGGUGAUGUUUAUGUCUCUUGAUGCACCCUGAUUUGAUCAGCUUCCUGGUUAUUUUAUUACAUGCAAUUCCAUGCCUACAUCCAGCAUUGGGGUUCCCACUGGUGUAACUUGGAGUGGAGCUGGGUUUCCCAGUAAUAACCCAGUUACAACCAAAACAUUUCUUUGUAUUACAUCAACUCUAAUAGAUUCUUAUUGCGUCCAGAUUGCCAUAUUGUGCUUGACAUGUGGCUCUGGGUCAGGUGAAGUUUAAGCUAGUUCUUCCACAAAAAAAAAACUCUUGCUCAGGAAUCAUGUGAUUGUGCAGUGGAGUUUCAAACAUUAAACAUCCUAAUUAGGUGAAAUUUGCAUAAUUUUUUCCUCUGCAAAGGGAUAACACAUGUAACAGAUAAUAACAUACUUAUCAAAAAAACUUAUAUGGCUUUAAUUAUUUCAGGUAACAACAUACAUUCGUGGCCAGUGGAACGAGAGAGAAGGGAUCAAAUGAAGUAGUGGUAACUGGUGAGAUGGGGCGCAGCCUCGCAGGCAAGGAAUUGAGCUCUUGAACUUAGGCAGUGCUGUGAUGCCGGCAUGCCCGAGAGCAAGGCUCGGCAUAGGGGAUGUUGAGUUUCUUCAGUUCUUGCUUAAUUCUGAAUCCUGCAUGGAUGUGCCCCUGGGGUCCAUAUUUGAUUGUAGAAACUUAGGGUUCAAUUUUGCUAAAGAUCACUGGGGCGUUCAUUUCAUAUAGAGGGCAUGUUUACUCUGCAUUAUCAACAUAGUAAAAAUCUAUAGCGUUUAAUCAAACCAAAAUGCAUUGUCUUAUAGAGUAAUAAUAUUGACACAUAAAAGUUUUUGGUUCCUUGUAUUUUGUUUACUCCUAUCAAUCUUGAUCAUUUGCUUGUCAGUUAAAAUUCAAAUGGCAACCCUGAAUGUGCAGAUGACUCCAUUGAUCUGCUGCUCGCGUGUCCUAAAUGUUUUGCAGACCUGACGAGUGCACAUGAACUCCUUUUUCCCCCUUUCAUUCCACAAACAUGGCAAAGUUGCUAUUUGGUGUGAUCAGUGAUGCAAUUGCCUAUGAUGAUGAACUGAGAUGAUCAGUCAGUCCUUUCAAUGUGGGUUUGGCUUUGAUCUUCAUGCUUAUGAAUGUUGGUGCAUUUGCAGUGGCAUAAUGAGGAAAAGGACAAGCUUAUGGUAUGAAUCAGACCAGCCCUGGAUAAAUUUCAUUAAUUGUCAUCUAGUUGUUUCAUGAAAUGGCUUGAAGUUCUCAGAAUGUUUUAUAGGUGUGAACCUCUGACCUCAAUUCCAAAUCAGGGAGCAUGAUCCACAACAAUAAUGGUCACCCGGGCAAGAUGAAUAUGGAGCUGAGGUCUUCCUCUUAUUACAGAGAUACACAGCUCUCCUGCGUGUUCGGAAAAAAUGGAGCUGAGGUCAUACAAGUCAACAUUUCAAGGCAGUUAACAUUUCGCCGGAUAAUUUGGAGGCAGACACUUCCUCAUAUCACUGCAGAUGGAUCCACUGAACAACACUCAAGAUGGCCGGCGACUUAGAAGAGAGCGGGAAAGGUUCCUUGCUGCAUCGAUGACAGACGAGCAGAGGGAGGAAAAGAACAGAAAGCGGCGUGAGAUAACGAUUACUGAUGAGCAGAGGGAGGAAAAGAACAGGAAGCGGCGUGAGGCAUAUAAGAGGAAGAAGUGUCAGUCACACAACAAGGAAAAUGAUCCAGCUGAAGAACAUGACGCUCCUACAGUCAGCGAGCAUCCAAUGACUCAGCUUUUCUCUGAGCAUUCCGCUGACUCAGUGCCCGAUGAGAUGGUGAGGGCUAAACUCUUCGAUGCCUGGACAGAUAUCCCACCAGAUGAAGAAGAUGGUGCAUCCAUCACCUAUUCUCCUACAAUCAUCGAGCAUCCCACAAGUCUGCCAAUCACCGAGCAAAUGACAGGGGAGAGACAAAACCAUUUAGCCCGACGCAAUCUCUUAUUUGAAGCCACAAUUGGAAGAAAGUACUUGGGUCCCCCCGAUGAGAUCCCCGAUGUGGCGGACGAGAUCCCCGAUGUGGCAGAUGCUCCAUCACAAUCUACCAUCAUUAACACUGGAGCAACGUACCCAACACAAGCGCAACAUGCAAAUCCACAGACACAAGAAUUCGUUUUUGGUGCAUCAAUCAUUGAGGAUGAUGGUGAUGAUGAUGUUGUAUUUGAGGAGGACGAGGAAGAGGACAAGGGUUAUCUAUUUGCAGGACAAGAAGAAGAAGACGAUGUCUACGUGGAAAUCAACCUUGAUGCUGAAGAUAACGGUGUGCCAGAUGCGUUGGAUCCUUAUGACGUGGUCUAUGCUAAUGUUCCAUCUGAAACACAUAAGUUAGAGGCGGUGGAGAAUUGCGAGCACUGCAAUGCUAAGAAGUUUGAGUAUGAAACUCCAGGUUUCUGUUGUCGUAGUGGGCAGAUACAUUUAUCCACACCCGAUACACCGCCUGAACUUAUGAGGUUGUGGACGGCUUCAGAUGCUGAUGCAAGGCACUUCCGUUCUAACAUCAGAUUCUUCAACGGUCAUUUCUCAUUUACUUCGCUAUAUUGUCACCUUGAUCGCAUGACCACGAACAUGCGUAAUGGAGGUGUGUAUACGUUCCGUGCCCACGGUCAAAUUUACCACAAUGUACGUUCAUUUGGUAAAGCGGAUGGUGCUGAACCAAGACAUCUUGAGUUGUAUUUCCAUGAUGAUGACCCUUCGCUCGAGCUUCGUUAUCGAAGAUGUUGAGAGGAAUGCCUAAGGAAAGAUAAGGAAGUCAUCGAUAGGUUGGUUGCGAUCAUGCGGGGCAACCCAUACUCUGAGCAUUUUAGGACUAUGGGUGCAGUUGAUAAUCUAGAGGAUUAUCAUGUGGAAUUGAAUCUUGACCAAAGGUUGGACCAGCGAACCUACAAUGUACCUAUCACAUCAGAGGUUGCUGCAGUUUGGAUAGAGGGUAGCGAGCGUCAUGGGCAGUUCGAGCAUAGUGUUGUACUCCAAGGGAAGGAUAGAUCUAUUCACAGUAUUCGAUCAUACCAUGGUUGUUAUGAUGCUCUGUUAUGCCCACUAUUCUUCCCUAGGGGUGAGCUUGGGUGGCACAAUUGCAUCCCAAAGGUGGGAGUCACAGCGGAGCAAGUAAAUGCUGCUCGUGAAGUCCGGAAGGCACGUGCAGGCGGCGAGGAUCUAGGGAGUGCUGGAAAUUUAUGUGUCUCAGUGCGUGACUACUACUGCUACAAAUUUCAAAUGCGUCCUGGUAUUUUCAACCCAAUAUUUUUUGGCAAGCGGCUUUUUCAACAAUUUGCCGUUGAUACAUAUGUUAAGAUUGAAAGCUCUCGAUUAGAUUACAUUAGAAAUAAUUAGGAUAGUCUCAGGGCCGACCUGUACCAUGGUCUUGUCGAUAGUUUGAACACUGGUGAGGGCCGAGCCGAUGCUGUUGGAAGACGUACUGUUCUUUCUACAACAUUCAUCGGAGGUCCUCGGGAUAUGAGGCGCCGGUAUAUGGAUGCAAUGGCCCUGGUACGCAAGUACUGCAAACCGGAUAUAUUCCUAACAAUGACCUACAAUCCUAACUGGGAUGAGAUCAGGAAUGAACUGUAUCCAGGCUAGUCAGCACAAGAUCGACCAGAUCUUGUAUCCCGUGUGUUCAGGGCAAAGCUGGAGGCUAUGAAAAUAAAGUUGUUGAAGAAUGAUAUACUUGGAAAGGUUCGGGCAUAUGUGUAUGUUGUGGAGUUUCAGAAGAGGGGUCUACCACAUGCUCACUUCUUGCUCAUAAUGAAAAAAAAUGGAACCUCACAUGUCCGGAGCAGCAUGACCGACUUAUAUGUGCUGAGCUGCCAAACAAGAAGAAAUAACCAGAGCUGUACAUGAUGGUGACUAAGCAUAUGAUGCAUGGGCCAUGCGGUGUGCUAAAUCCAAAUUGCCCGUGUACUAAGGGUCGUUCUUCAUGCAAAAAUCAUUAUUCGCGUCCCUCCGCGGAGUCCACCUCACAGGGUAAAGAUUCUUACCCUAUAUAUCGUCGCCGUGACAACGGGUGUAAAGAGAAGGUUCGAGGUUAUGAACUUGACAAUUGGUGGGUUGUCCCUUAUAACCCGCACUUACUGCGUGCGUUCAAUUGUCACAUAAAUGUUGAGGCAUGUAGCAGCAUUAAAUCGGUAAAGUAUUUAUUCAAGUAUGUAUACAAAGGUCAUGAUCGGGCUUCCAUAGCCGUUAGGGAGUCUGGUCAGGCAGAUAAAGAAGGGAACGUAGACGAGAUCAAAGCAUACAGAGACGCUCGAUGGGUGACCCCACCAGAGGCGUUGUGGAGGAUAUAUGGUUUUGACCUUAGCAUAAAUCAUCCCCCCGUACAACAACUCCAGAUCCAUCUUCCCGACAUGCACAUGGUGUCAUUUCACAAUCGUUAAAAGAUUGAGCACGUUGUUAAUAAACCAGGUGCCGAUGAAUCAAUGUUGACUGCAUAUUUUAAAGCAAACGGGUUGCACGAGUUUGCUCGCAACAUAUUAUAUCGUGAUUUCCCGAAAUUUUUCACAUGGCAGUCUGAUGGUAAAUUUUGGCGACCAAGGGAACGAGCUAACACUGGGCAAGUUGGGAGGAUCGUUUCAGCUCAUCCAGCUGAAGGUGAACGCUACUAUCUCCGGAUUCUCCUAAAUCAUGUGGCUGGAGCAACUUCAUAUGAAGAUUUGAGAACCGUUGAUGGUGUGGCACAACCUUCUUUCCGUGAAGCUGCGGAGAAAAGAGGGUUGAUUGAGGAGGACAGUUCACUUGAUGAUUGUCUUUCUGAAGCUGCCUUGUAUCAGAUGCCAUCAUCACUACGAAGGUUUUUGCAACAAUAUUGGUAUUUUGUGACCCGAGUGAUGUAUUCGCACUCUGGCAAAAACACUUGGAUGCAAUGUCUGAGGAUUAUCGUCGCAACAAUCCAUCAGAUGCUAUUGUUAAGCAGAUGGUCCUAAUUGAUAUUAGAAACAUGCUGCAAUCAAUGGGGAAGGAUAUAAAAUCAUUCCCACUCCCUGAGAUUGAUAACACUUACGAUGACGCUUGUGGUGUUCCACGGGAGAUAUUCGAGGAAUCAAAUAUAGAGAGCACCGAGGAUGACGUGGCCUUAUCAGAGUCCCUUAACAAUGAGCAGAGGGCUGCUUACGAUGAGAUCUUGUCAUCUAUUGAUUCCAACGACGGCGGUUUGUUUUUUGUGGAUGGCCCUUGUGGCACCGGGAAAACAUUCUUGUAUAGGGCUUUGCUUGCCAAAGUCCGCAGUCAGAACAAGAUUGCUGUUGCGACUGCUAUGUCUGGGGUUGCUGCAUCCAUAAUGCCCGGUGGGAGAACAGCACAUUCACGUUUCAAGAUUCCACUUACCAUUGAUAGUGGUGGAUAUUGUAGUUUUACUAAACAAAGUGGUACAACGACUCUGCUACGCACUGCUUCUUUGAUUGUUUGGGAUGAGGUUUCUAUGAUCAAGAAACAAGCAGUGGAGGCGUUGGACAAUAGCAUGCGUAAUAUAAUGGAUAGACCCGAUUUGCCUUUUGGUGGGAAGACUGUUGUGUUUGGGGGAGAUUUUAGGCAAGUCCUACCGGUUGUCAAGAAGGGGUCGAGGGCUCAGAUAGUGGAUGCUUCGUUACGCCGGUCAUACCUUUGGGAUUAUAUGCGUCACCUAAAGCUUGUGCGCAACAUGAGAGCGCACAAUGACCCAUGGUUUGCUGAAUAUCUUUUGCGCAUUGGCAACGGAAUAGAGGCGGCCAAUGCUGAUGGUGAAAUCCGUCUCCCAGACGAAAUUUGCGUGCCAUAUACUGGAGAUGGCAAUGAUCUUGAUAGAUUAAUCCAAUGCAUCUUCCCUAACCUUAAUGAGAACAUGGCAGACACGGACUACAUCACUUCUAGAGCUAUUUUGUCCACACGCAAUGAUUGGGUUGAUAGGAUUAAUAUGAAGAUGAUUGGAUCUUUCCAAGGUGGGGAGGUGGAGUAUCAUAGUUUUGAUUCUGCUGUAGAUGAUCCACACAACUAUUAUCCAUCAGAGUUUCUUAACACCCUUACACCUAAUGGAUUGCCUCCACAUGUGUUAAAGCUAAAGGUAGGUUGUCCAAUAAUAUUGCUUCGGAACAUUGAUCCUGCAAAUGGAUUAUGUAAUGGUACGAGGUUGGUUGUCCGUGGUUUCCAAAGAAAUACUAUCGAUGCUGAAAUCGUGUUGGGCUAGCAUGCUGGAAAACGAGUUUUCCUCCCUUGGAUACCCUUAUGUCCCUCUGACAACGAGAUGUUCCCGUUUCAAUUCAAAAGGAAACAGUUUCCUAUCCGGUUCAGUUUUGCCAUGACGGUCAACAAGUCACAAGGUCAGACUAUUCCUAACAUAGGUGUUUACCUCCCCGACCCUGUGUUCUCGCAUGGGCAAUUGUAUGUUGCAAUGUCAAGGGAAACUGCUAGAACAAACAUCAAGAUUCUAGCACUUCCACCUAAUGCCACUGAGCUGGAGGAAGAAGCUAAAAAGGAGAAGAAAAAUGCUAAAAAGAAGGGUAAGGAGACGGUCAAUAACAAGAAAGAAAAGAAAAAGAUCCCAGUGUAUACAUUUACAAAGAAUAAUAGAAUAUUGUAUAUAGGGAGGUCCUAACAGCGUAGUAUAGAGAUUUGUGGUUACUUUGCUUACCUGACCAUGGAUAUGGUCAUCGGAUUAUUGUGCACACAUAUUGCAAUAUGGUACUAUGGUUAUUUCUACGGUCGCAUAAUAUUGAAAGGUUGGUGAAUGUCAGGUCAGAAGUUCAGAUUGCUGAUAUGUAUGUUCAUGAAUUUUAUUGCUGAUAUGUAUGUUCAUGAAUUUUUUUGCCCGUAGCAACGCAAGGGCACGAACCUAACGGCGGUCGCCAUCGGCAAGAAGAUCGCAGACGACAUACCGGCGCACUGCUACGAUGGCUACUAUUAGGGACAGGGCUACAAGCUCCAAUACCCGGUGGACAAGAAUUUAAACAACGACAAUACGGAGAGCUACGUGACGCGCAUCAAGUGUGCGGUCCUGCGAAACCUCUCCGAGCUUGAGGCUGCGCCGAGCAUUGAGUUCAAGCAACCGGCCGGUGGCAGCAUCGACACCGAGGCGCUCUUCUACAAGCGGCCCCCGCAGGAGGACGACGACCCCAUGGAGAGGCUGCACCGGUGGUGCGGCGAGAUGGAGUGUGGCUUCUUCAUGGACCUGGGGAAGCGGCAGCUCGACCUGGUCAAGGACGAUAGUGGCGCCCACCACCAUGCGCAUCGGCCGGAGCCGGUGAAGAAACACCGGUCUCGAAAGCUUCAUAUCCAAUACCAUGCGCAUGACCGUGCAUUAUUCUAACUUCUGCUUAAACCAUAUGUAACCUUGCAGAAUGCUGGCAUGACCAUGUAAAAAUCACUUACCCUCUUUUUUCCCUUCUAUUUUUUCAUUGAGCGCCAAAUGGAACACCUAUCAAAAGGGUAUUGGUUGAUUGACCGAUUCUGAAUUUGAAAAACCAAAAAGUAAAAUUCCAGAUCU